UUCCCUCUUUCUCCCCCUGCCGAACCCGACGCCGUGCCCUAACCUCCUUGCGGCUUUCUUUUCCUCUCACACGACGGUUCCUUCUUUCCGUUGUGCUGCAGCCGAUGCUGGUUCACAACCCAAGCGCUGGCGACGCUCGAGCACUCUUCUGCGAUUUGCCCUCUCGCACCGCUGCCUCCUUCUCCACACCAGCGACGCCGAUUCCACAGCUCUAGCGCCGGCGCCGCCGCUUCUCUUCUCCUCUGCGCAUCAACACCAACUCAGCGUGCCCUAAUUCCUGGUCUCUUUCUUCCCGCUCGGAGCAGCGCCGCGCCACCUGAUUCAUCUUCGUCGUCGGCGCAAAUCCAUCACCACCUACUGCGGGAAGCCACCCUCGGUUGAUGUGGGCCGACGCUAGAGCAUUGGGCCCUAGCCUCGAUUUCUGACGCCGACCUUCUUCAUCGCGACGACGCCAACGCACAGAGCCCCUUCUCCAUGCCCUAGUUUUGUUAGGUUGGCUGUGGUCGGCCUAUCAAACGGCAGCUUGCAUUGUCUUGGAUCGGAGAGGAAAAUCUGUUGGGGGACAAAGAUUUAGCUUCCUUGAUUCAUCGGCAACAAAUCUAUGGCAGCAGUACGAUCUGGCUAGCACUUUCCGGCCGCCACUCCUCUUGGCAGUGGGUUAUUAGGGGCUAUCUGGUGUUAGGGUAAGAUUGCGGUUAAAGUUGUACUGGAUUAAGGCUAGGACAUGAAGGUAGGGCGGAAGAAAUUGUAAACCUUUGUGGCUGGCUUGUACCACCAUCCACCAAUUGCAAAUUUGGGAUUAAAUUGUUGUGGAGAUGAGGAAUCUGAUCAUUUUUCAUACACUUAGGUGAACAUGUUCAGUGAUUUUCUUUA